rnacentral:misc_RNA from 1 species
GUAUAUAUAUAUAUAUAUAUAUACAUAUCACCCCCAAAUCCAAACUGCCAAAUUAUAACUGAAUUACCAUCUCUCUCUCUCUCUCUAGAGGAUUAAUUGCUUAAGGCCUAGGGCAAUGGAAGCAAAUCAAAAGUUCCUCCAUGGAACACUUGAAGUUACAAUCUUUGAUGCAACACCUUAUACACCCCCAUUUCCCUUCAAUGUAAGUAUUUUUAUUUUCUUUUUUGAGUUUUUUUUUUUUUGGCUAAUUUUGAUUAAGGUAUAUAGCUUUUUUUUUUUUUUUACAAAAUUUAUUUUUAUUUCUUUAUAUUUCUUUGUAUUACAGAAUAUAGAAAACAACAAAAAAAUUCAAAAUCUAGCAUUUUCAAAGCCGUGCAAAUCACUGACUCUGUUCAUAUGCUUUCUCAUAAUCGCCACUUUAGCUAACCUCUCUGCGGCUCGCCACGCCGAUGUCGGGGUAAGAGGCUCUGGCUUCUCCUCCGCUUGCUGACUACUCUUCUGCUUCUGGCUCUGCACCAGUUGCUGCCUACGCCGAUGCAGCUCGCCAAGCUCUGCCUCUAAGCUGCGCAAAUGCUGGAUAGUCGAGCUGUCACUAGACUGCAUCACCAAAGCUCGAGCUGAGGAUAACAAAUGAUAAGCUCCAGAUAAAUCAUUAUGAUCCAUUAAUCGCCGAGAUUCAGCCACUGCUCUUAUUGUGAUGUGGAGGUCCCUCAGCCGUUGGAUAUGUGGCACUGAUGAUCGAACGGCUUGAGCUCGAGGUAUUAUCAGGGCUUUUUCCUUGGAUAAGACUGGCUCCUGUGACGAUGGGUCUCUAAACGAGGACCGUACGGAUAACAAGUGGUGGCCCUCGGUGGAAGAAGCCGGCACUUUCAAUUCUAUGAGUA